rnacentral:rRNA from 1 species
AUUGAACGCUGGCGGCAGGCCUAACACAUGCAAGUCGAACGCGUGGCGGACGGGUGACCAAUGUCUGGGCAACUGCCUGAUGGAGGGGGAUCACUACUGGAAACGGUAGCUAAUACCGCCUUCCAUCCGAUGUGCCGAGAUGGGAUUAGCUAGUUGGUGGGGUAACGGCUGACCAAGGCGACGAUCCCUAGCUGGUCUGAGAGGAUGACCAGACACACUGGAACUGAGACACGGUCCAGACUCCUACGGGAGGCAGCAGUGGGGAAUAUUGCACAAUGGGCGCAAGCCUGAUGCAGCCAUGCCGCGUGUGUGAAGAAGGCCUUCGGGUUGUAAAGUACUUUAAGCGGGGAGGCGUUACCCACAGAAGAAGCACCGGCUAACUCCGUGCCAGCAGCCGCGGUAAUUC